GGAGAUUCUAGACAUAGAACAGACUUUAUGUCGUGCUCUAUUCUUUUACGUACUGUUUUGACGGUUUUAUGAAAAAUACUGUAAGGUGGAGCAUACAAUAGUUCGUUAUUGUCACUAUACGUUGCAUUGAACGAUUCCUUCUCAUUCUAUAAUCCAAAGCAAACUACACGACACUUUCUACAUUGAUCUCAUACUGUGGUCAAAGUGAAAGUGUGAGACUUCACAAUUCAUUGCACUUAAGCCACUACCUAAAAUGAAAAAGUACGAUUUUUUCAUUAAACAACAAGGCUUUUUACCAAAAACUUGAGCCAACGUUUUCAUUGUAAUCAUUAAUGAUGUUAAGUGUAAAUCCCAUUGAACAACUAGGAAACAAUCUGUGAAGGAAGCCUGCAUCGUAUAACCCUACGUGGAAUUCAAGUUGGGUAACCAAAUUCGGGGUACAAAAUUCAACCAUUGUUAUGUUUGUGAGUCGCAAUUGUUGUGCUUCCAAUUCUUGCAUGAAUUCUUGAGACGCGAAACAAUUCUUUUG